ACUAUCGGCAGGAACCAUGAUGGUCUCUACCUCGGAUCUUCAGCAAUGGUUUUUGAUAAAAUACAUGAUCCACCAAUGUUGGAAGCAUUGGCUUGCCGCGAGGCUCUUGCCCUAACUCAGGACCUAUAUGCAGACCAUAUUGUUGUUGCGUGUGACAACAAGACAGUUGUAGAGGAAAUCAAGAAGGGAUCAGAAGGAAGAUACAACAAUAUCAUCAAGGAAAUCCAAGCCCAAGCUAGACUUUUUGUUCGAUGUGACUUCAUCUUUGAAGGUCGAAAAGGGAAUAUUGAUGCUCAUAAUUUAGCAAAAUUUUGUACUUCUUUAGUUCAAGGUCGCCACGUGUGGCUGGGAGAACCCCAUGACACCUUUGUUAUUCCUGUAAACCGAGACAAUAAUCAAUAA
rnacentral:rRNA from 1 species